GCUGUCAUUAUCAGCAGCUCAUGUUCUCCCUCGCUGACACCACCUCAUGCUUUGGCCACUCCUCACCUGGGUCUCACACCUUUGCUCUCCACAGUGCCCCCAGCACUCGCACAGCAGGUCUUCAGUAUUUGCUGACUGACUCAAUGACUGACAGAUUCCAGGAGCAAAGUGGGAAGGUGGGAUGGAGGAUGCGACUGGGACACAAACCUCCUCAUGGUUUCCUUCCAGGUAACACCAAAGCAAUGGAUUACUGUCUCCCUAGCACCUGCGACAACGUCUGCCACAGGUCAGUGCCCCAUAAACCUUUGCAGAAAGAAAGGGGGGGGGGAGCAGACUUCUUCCUGGUUCCCCCGCCCCCACCCAGCCUGCCGCCCGGGGCUGCACAGAGGCGCCCCGAGGGGCUAGGAAAGCCCUCGGCCUGGCCUUUGGGGGGCCAGUGCUGUCUGCCAUCUCCUGCACCGGGCUGGCAGCCUCCACUGCCAAUGCCUCCCACGGCCAGUGUGAACCAGCGGCAGAAGUGAAAGUUGGCUUGACCGUCCCGCUCUCAUCGCUUCUCCAUUCCUCUUGCAGUGUUCUCUUGGCUCGUGGACAGCGUACUCUUGUUUAUCUAAAUCUUGUUUUCCCAGACACAACCAACGUUGGGGUCAACCCAGGACUCACAGCCUGAGACGUCCGGCAGCCCAAUUCUCUUGCAUUCUGGAGGUCCCAGGUGACUCACUGUCGUCACUGAAAGCCUUGUGGUCAGUCCCCGCCUCGCUGCUACUCGCCACUGUCGCCGCUGCGCUGCUGGAUGCGCUGGCGGCUCCUGCUCCAGCUACUGAUUUUCUGGCCACCUCCGCUGCCCGUGAGGCUAGAAUACAGCAUUGUCCCCUGACCCGAGUGAUUAUUAGAAUUCCAUUUUAAGCUCAUCAAAGUAGGCAUGCACUUUCAGAUUCAGACACGUUUUCUUUUCAAGGAAGGUGGAGCAAGUUCCCCAGGGAGAGGCCUGAGGAUGCCGCCCCCUGCUGAAGGCCGAGCUCGCCCUCGCUGUACAGCUGGGCCAGAUGUGUCCUUUGACUACCUGCCACUCCAGCGCCGGGCCCACCUCCCAGAGCCGGCGCAGGCUUUGGUUCAGGAGAGUCGGCUCCUGUUCCGGCAGUACUGCUUGGGCCUCCUCCUCUGCUUUCCAGCCAACACUCCGGUCUCUGCUGUCCCUCUGCCACAUGAAUCCCUGCUGGCCCUCUGCCACAUGAAUCCCUGCUGGCCCUUCAGCUUUAUGCCAUGCCCCCAAAGCCUGCCCUGACCCUCACAUCAGGUUAAUCGCCCUUUCUAUGCACUGGUAGGGUCUGAAGAGUACAGGGCUGUGCCUGUCCUGUUCAUUGUCACAUCCCCAAUGUCACCUUGUGCUGAGCACAUUGAAGUGACUGGAUAAAAACUGUUUUAAAGAGUGAACAAAUUGUGUGUGUUGGCAUCUUACAGGCCUUAGGGAUGGGGAGCCCCAUAUCCAAUGCCUCUGGUAUUCCCUGCAGCUCAAGGUUAAGGCCUCUGCCUAAAGCACCUGUGGAACAGGAGCUAAGUGGGUGUUUCAGCCUGCUGAGGGUAGGGAAGCUCUGCUAGGAGGGGCCAGAACUGCUCGAAGGCCCUCCUGUCCUCCCCACACAAGAACAAGGGUAGGACUGACAGAGAAAAUACAGGACACCCAGUCACAUGUGCAUUUUGGAUAAACAUUGAAUAUAUUUUAAGUAUAUUGUUUGUCAUAUGUGGGACAUACUUAUGCCCCAAAAAAUUAAAUUCAAAUUUAAUCAGGCAUCUUGGGGUUUCUUCCUUCUUUCUAGGUCUUGGAACCCUAUCAAGGCAGACGUGAUCCACCAGGUGCUAGAGGAUCUGGGGUCCUUUUCCAAGGGACAUUCUGCACAUUGUCUGGGUUCCUCUUGCUCUUUAUAAACACUUUUGGCCAAAGAACAGGGCGAGCUCAAAGCUGGUUUCCCAGGGCCGUCACUAGCACACUUAAUCCAAGGUAUUGCCCUACAUCUCGACCCCUGACCCCAGCUACUGGACGUGAUAGUCCACGCAGGCCUUUCUGAAGAGGGGCUGUUUGUGUUGAGAUUUGAAGGAAUGAGUCAAGUGAUGAUGGAGAGAACAUUCCAGAGGAGGACGGGAGUGAACUUGGUGAGUCUGAGGAACAGAAAGGCUAGUGCCGUGAGUGUGGAAAAAGAAGGUUUGCAUGGAAAAGCUUGAGCCACAACUCUGGUCCCCAAGAAGGGGUCUAAAAGGCUGUACUCCUGGUCGAUCACCGCCUCCAGCUGUAACGUGAUGCUUUUCUGGUCUCCAAGGCAGCAGGGAUGGGGAAGGAAGAGAAUGGGUGUCUGCCAUCGUGGCUGGGGGGUUCUGGCAGCAGGGGGCCAGGCCAUGGGGCCCUGGUGCUUGACUGCAGUUUGGUGGGUUCACUACUCUUAAAAAUGGCAGGAUGGAGCCAUGAGUCCUUAGAGCUAAGUCCCAUGUGAACAGUCCCUGUGGAGGCACCCUAGCUUAGACAGCCACCUCCAUCCCCUUCUGAGAGCCCUGCUAAGGGGAAAGUGCUGCAGCCCAGGG
rnacentral:lncRNA from 1 species